CUGGGGCUGCAGGAACCCGGGGCGGGGACCAGCGCCCCUCCGGGAGCCCUUUCCGGCAGCGCAGUGCAGUGUUGGGGCAGUGGUCCAGGAACCCCAAAGCGCGACUUCAGGACAUUCCCAGAUUUUCCUGCACUCUGCCUCUGAACCUUGGAGACCCAGAACCCCCCUGACCGCGGAGUGAUGGGUCACUGAAUCCAGGGCCUGCCUGGUUCUGAGAACACCGCGGUCAGCCGGCCAGAGCUUCGCUAAGCUGGGAUGGCCCGCCUCCAUCGACAGCUCUUCCUCACUUCACGGUCCCUGGGUAUUUAAAGUCACCGUGAUGACCCUGAUCGGGAUUCCUUUAAUUCUCCCAUGAAUUUACUGUGCUAGCGACGCUCAUUCAUUCCAUGCACAUUGGUUCGCGCUUGGCUCAGGGAGCUGUCCAGGUUCAUGGUUGCCCAAGUCUUCCAAAGCACCCACUGCUGCCGCAACACCAGGUUAGAGAGCCCACGGUGUCAGGACUCCCGGACUGCUGCAAGUGAGGAACGCACUGAGAUUCAUGCCAGGAGCAGCUGGUUAUGGAAGAAUGACAGAGUUGAAAGGUUUCACCCCAGGCCAAGGCUUCACCGCGUGUAUGCCAUCAAGCACAGGGCCAGAAAUCUUCCUGAGACCGACUACCUCAUCCCCAACAACUCGGCUGUGAAAACACAUUGUCAGUUUUAGUUGCUUCUCACCGAAGAAACUCCAUGAGAAUGAAGCCUUUGUGGAGGUCCACUGGCCUUUGCUAAAUCCCCGGGAAUCCUCUCAGGUCGGUGGUUUCAGACUGUUCCCUCUGUAAAUGUGUGCAGUAGAAAUGGAAGGCUCCUUUACUGAUUGCUCCACAGCAGCAAGGAGAAAAACGAAAACAAAAACAAACACUUUUGGGAAGGGAACUUUGAAGGAAUUCUUCACCAGAGCCCAGACAAUGACAGGCCUUGAGCUUCCAGAACUAUGAGAUCAGGUCCCUACAAUGAAGCCGAGACGUGGUUAAUAGCCUCUAUAAGCAAAUCAGAUUACAAUGCUUCUCUGAAUCCUGACCCAGUUGAGACCCGUGGCAGCUGACUCAGCCCUCAGCUGUGUUGAGGAUUAAUCAAAUUAACAGCAAUGCCCGGAAAUUUAGCCAGGGCCCUGUGUACCACCUUAUAUCUGAGUCAGAGUCCAGAAUUUUGGGACCUGCUUUCUGCCACAUGAGACUUCCCUUAACUGGAGAUCUAUGAACUAAGAAGACAAGUUUCGUGCUUUCAAUAACCCAACCAAGAAGGGCAAGACCAGGAUGGACAGCCACUGUAGACUUCCCCAUUCAAAAUACCAUCAAUGGUAAUUCAUGCUGUGAAAAGCCUUGUAAACAAAGUACCUCAUCUCAGCCCAGGAGAUCCUGCAGAUGUGCAGGCUAGACAGAAAAGUUGUAGUGAGGAGGCUGAGGAUGCAUGGAGGGACUUCUUUUAGCCUAUGUUGUUUUCUUCUGUGGUUUCUGCGGAAGCUGAUCUAAUAAAAUUUGAUUCUAAGUGACUUGGCUGGAUUCCUAUCUAUGUAUCAACAAGGAUUUUUUCUGGUAAAUAAA